AUUCAAUAAAAUUCCCCCUGCCUUUAAAAUUUCCCGUCAAAUUCAUUUCCCCCCAUUUUGAAAGUGCAAACAGUUUCUCUCCUAAUGACAUCAGUUCAUUAGGUUUUCUGUUUUGCCCACCUCCGCCGUAAUCUCCAUAGAAACUACCAUAUCCUGUGCCGAAUUUCCCUCCACCCUAAAAUUUGCAGCGACGUCUCAUUUUCUUUCUGAAAUGUGCUCUUAUAUAUGCCAAUAUUUGCUUAAGUGAAAUUCAACGAGGAAAAAGAAAAUUUCAAUAGUAUCAAAGUUCAAAUACAUAUUUCAUUCGGGUUAUACAUGUGGACACUGGAGUGAACGAAGGAUUCUUCAUGUUCUCAAAUAAGAUCAACGUAGAGCAAAAAUGAGGAAGGUAAAGAAAAAGGAUAGAGGUACUUCAGAGGAAAGUUCUGGUGGAUAAUUAAAAAUGGUGCCAAAAGACUAUUUGAUCUAUUGGAAUUUAACGAUGACAAUUACGAUUUUUGUAAUUCCUGAUACUACAAUUGAUUUUGUAAAGUUACAAGCAUGAACCUUGAACUAAUUUUCUUCAUUGUAUUACACAAGAUUUAAUUUUUUUUUUUGGAAUUUCAUUGCAAGUAUAUGCA